rnacentral:ncRNA from 2 species
GAAAAUCCAUAGGGGAGCCUCGCCACAGAGGCUGAGAAACCGAUAGGUCUCUGGACGAUGAACCAGUGCCGGUGCGGUGACCCUUUUAACCUGAUCCGGAUCAUGCCGGCGGAGGAAAUGGGAUAUGCUUGAGG